GGUCAAGUUAUUAAGGGUGCAGGGCGGAUGCCUUGGCACUAGGAGCCGAUGAAGGACGUGAUAAGCUGCGAUAAGCUUCGGGGAGUUGCACGUAAACUUUGAUCCGAAGAUUUCCGAAUGAGGAAACUCACUUAGAGUAAUGUCUAAGUAUCAUUAAGUGAAUACAUAGCUUAAUGAGGGGAACUCAGGGAACUGAAACAUCUAAGUACCUGAAGGAAGAGAAAGAAAUUCGAUUCCGUAAGUAGCGGCGAGCGAACGCGGAUUAGCCCAAACCAAUAAAGUUUUCUUUAUUGGGGUUGCGGACAUAUCAUAACGAAGAGGUAUCGUAAUUGAAGAGGUUUGGAAAGACCCACCACAGAAGGUAAUAGUCCUGUAUGUUAAACGAGAAGACUUUAGAUAUGAUCCAGAGUACCACGGGACACGUGAAACCCUGUGGGAAGCAGGAGGGACCACCCUCCAAGGCUAAAUACUACCUAGUGACCGAUAGCGUAUAGUACCGUGAGGGAAAGGUGAAAAGAACCCCGGGAGGGGAGUGAAAUAGAACCUGAAACCCUGCACUUACAAGCUGUGGAAGCACAUUUCUUGUGUGACCGCGUACUUUUUGUAGAACGGGCCAACGAGUUACGUUAAGUAGCAAGGUUAAGCACUUAAGGUGCGGAGCCGUAGCGAAAGCGAGUUUUAACUGAGCGUUCAGUUACUUGACGUAGACCCGAAACCGGGCGACCUACCCAUGAGCAGGAUGAAGCGAAAGUAAAAUUUCGUGGAGGUCCGAACCCACGAGCGUUGAAAAGCUCGGGGAUGACUUGUGGGUAGCGGUGAAAUUCCAAUCGAGCCCGGAGAUAGCUGGUUCUCCCCGAAAUAGCUUUAGGGCUAGCCUCAAGGUGAGAGAUACGGAGGUAGAGCACUGAAUGUCCUAGGGGGUAUUGCACCUACCGAAGACUAUCAAACUCCGAAUGCCGUCAUCUUAUACUUGGGAGUCAGACUGUGGGUGAUAAGAUUCAUAGUCGAAAGGGCAACAGCCCAGAUCGUCAGCUAAGGUCCCUAAAUGUAAGUUAAGUGGUAAAGGAUGUGGGAUUGCACAGACAACCAGGAUGUUGGCUUAGAAGCAGCCACUCAUUCAAAGAGUGCGUAAUAGCUCACUGGUCGAGUGAUCCUGCGCCGAAGAUUUCCGGGGCUAAAACUUACUACCGAAGCUACGGCAUCAGUAAUGAUGGGUAGGGGAGCUUCCCAUACGGGUUGAAGCAUGACCGUAAGGACAUGUGGACAGUAUGGGAGUGAGAAUGUUGGCAUGAGUAGCGAGAUGUGGGUGAGAAUCCCACAGGCCGUAAACCCAAGGUUUCCAGGGGAAGGUUCGUCCGCCCUGGGUUAGUCGGGACCUAAGCUGAGGCCGAAAGGCGUAGGUGAUGGACAACAGGUUGAUAUUCCUGUACUACCGAUAACCGUUUGAGAGAAGGGAUGACACAGUAGGAUAAGCUAAGCACACUGUUGGUUAUGUGUGCC
rnacentral:rRNA from 1 species